AGUGAACGCUGGCGGUAGGCCUAACACAUGCAAGUCGAACGGCAGCACAGUAAGAGCUUGCUCUUACGGGUGGCGAGUGGCGGACGUGUGAGGAAUACAUCGGAAUCUACUUUUUCGUGGGGGAUAACGUAGGUAAACUUACGCUAAUACCGCAUACGACCUACGGGUGAAAGCAGGGGAUCUUCGGACCUUGCGCGAAUGAAUUAGCCGAUGUCGGAUUAGCUAGUUGGCGGGGUAAAGGCCCACCAAGGCGACGAUCCGUAGCUGGUCUGAGAGGAUGAUCGGCCACACUGGAACUGAGACACGGUCCAGACUCCUACGGGAGGCAGCAGUGGGGAAUAUUGGACAAUGGGCGCAAGCCUGAUCCAGCCAUACCGCGUGGGUGAAGAAGGCCUUCGGGUUGUAAAGCCCUUUUGUUGGGAAAGAAAAGCAGCAGGUUAAUACCACGCUGUUCUGACGGUAACCAAAGAAUAAGCACCGGCUAACUUCGUG
rnacentral:rRNA from 1 species